GCUGACGUAGCUCAAUUGGUAGAGCAUCUGAUUUGUAAUCAGAAGGUUAAGGGUUCAAGUCCCCUCGUCAGCU
rnacentral:tRNA from 1 species